rnacentral:rRNA from 1 species
UACGGGGGGGGCAAGCGUUGUUCGGAAUUACUGGGCGUAAAGCGCACGUAGGCGGAUCGUUAAGUCGGGGGUGAAAUCCUGGAGCUCAACUCCAGAACUGCCUUCGAUACUGGCGAUCUUGAGUCCGGAAGAGGUGAGUGGAGCUCCUAGUGUAGAGGUGGAAUUCGUAGAUAUUAGGAAGAACACCAGUGGCGAAGGCGGCUCACUGGUCCGGUACUGACGCUGAGGUGCGAAAGCGUGGGGAGCAAACAGG